rnacentral:tRNA from 1 species
AGGUCAGUAGUUCAAAGGGCAGAACGCCAGAAUCCAAAUCUGGCAGAUAAGGGUUCAAAUCCUUUCUGACCUG